rnacentral:rRNA from 1 species
UACGUAGGGUGCGAGCGUUAAUCGGAAUUACUGGGCGUAAAGCGUGCGCAGGCGGCGCGUUAAGACAGGUGUGAAAGCCCCGAGCUUAACUUGGGAAUUGCGCUUGUGACUGGCGUGCUGGAGUGUGGCAGAGGGAGGUGGAAUUCCACGUGUAGCAGUGAAAUGCGUAGAUAUGCGGAGGAACACCGAUGGCGAAGGGCACUCCCUGGGCCUGACACUGACGCUCAUGCACGAAAGCGUGGGGAGCAAACAGG